AUGCAGUCCCAGCAAGCACCAACAAGGAAGGCAGCUGAGGAGAAGGAGAAGCGUCGUGGGCAGAGGCAGAGUGCCGGCAGCACAAAAGACACCAGUGCCCACGGGACCUCUGGCACACAGCCCAUAGACACGUUUAAGCGGUACCAUUGGCACCACAACGAUGCAGGGAACAGGCCAGCCCCUCAACCACACAGUGACAGGGGGCCUGGGCUUUUUCCUACUCAAAAUGGCGGCAUGAGGCAAAGGCAGGAACAUCAGCCACACAGCCGCAAGGACCACAGGCAUGACUAUAGUGCGCAACACAGUCUGGGACCCAAGCAUGGCCAUAAAGCAGAUGGCAGCGUCGGGCCCACAAAUGGAAAUGAAGCGCAGAGUGGAAUGGGACAUAGGCGUGAAAGUGAACGACCCCAUGGUUCGGCACCCCGGCUGAAAAGGCUUCCGGACCAAAGGCAUCCCGUGCAGCCAGGCCCCAGCAGGGACCAGCUUGAUCAUCGGCAGCUCCAAGCCGUGCCCCGUCCUUCCCCUAAACCUGACAGCAACUCAGGCCAUGGGCCUUACAAUUCAUGCAAUGGUCGCGUGGGGCGAAGGCAGGAGCAUUAUACAGACAGCCGCAUGCAGCAGAGGCGUGCCCAUAGUCCUCAACGCAGUGUGGGAUCCAGGCAUGGCCAGAAACGAGACGGCAGCAUCGGAGCCACAAAUGGAAAUCCACCGCACAGUGGCAUGGGACCUAGAUGUGAAAGUGGACGACCCUGUGGUUCGGCAGCCUGGCUGGAAAAGUCUCCUGAUCAAAGGCAUCGUGUGCGGCCAGGACUCAGCAAGGAUGGGCUCAAACAUCAGCAAGUCCAAGCCAUGCGCUGCCCUUCCCCUAAACCAGACAGCGACUCACGGCAUGGGUCUUCCAAUUGUCGCAACAAUGGCAUGGGGCGAAGGCAGGAACAUCGUCCAGACAGCCGCGCGGAGCAGAGGCAUGCCUAUCAAGCAAGCCCAGACACAUAUAAGCGGUACCAUUGGCACUGCAGCGAUGCGGGGAGCAGGCCGGCCCCUCAAACACACAGCGACAGGGGGCCUGGGCUUUCCCAUAGCCGCAACAGUGGCAUGGGGCAAAGUAAGGACCAUCAGACAGACAGACGCGGGGAGCACAGGCGUGCCUAUCACAGGGAACACAGUGCGGGACCCAGCCAGGGCCAGAAACCAGACAGCAGCGUCGGACCCACGCAUGAAAAUCAACCCGACAGUGGCAUGGGACCGAGGCGUACAACUGGACAACCCCCUGAUUCGGCACCCUGGCCUGAAAACAUGCCGUACGGAAGGCAUCCCAUUUGGGCAGUCCCGGGCAAAGACUGGCUUAGCCUUCUGCCCAACACCGUGGAGCCCAUGGAGCUGGAUCCACCAGAAGACGUGGAGGAACCAAUGGAAGUGGAUUCACCUCAGCCAGAACAGACCUGGGACUCCCGCACCAUGUCUUUGCUCUCUGCUCUCCAAAGGCACAAAGAGCAUCGCAGGAGUGCCCGGCCAGCCCCCUACUCGUCGUCACGCAGGCACCAUCCCAAGCAUUAG
ensembl:lncRNA